rnacentral:rRNA from 1 species
CCUACGGGAGGCAGCAGUGGGGAAUAUUGCACAAUGGGGGAAACCCUGAUGCAGCAACGCCGCGUGAAGGAAGACGGUUUUCGGAUUGUAAACUUCUGUUUAUAGUGAAGAAAAAUGACGGUAGCUAAGGAGCAAGCCACGGCUAACUACGUGCCAGCCGCCGCGGUAAUACGUAGGUGGCAAGCGUUGUCCGGAAGUACUGGGUUUAAAGGGAGCGCAGGCGGGAAGCCAAGUCAGCUGUGAAAUCUACGGGCUUAACUUGUAGACUGCAGUUGAUACUGGUAGUCUUGAGUGAAGUAGAGGUAGGCGGAAUUCGUGGUGUAGCGGUGAAAUGCGUAGAUAUUCGGAGGAACACCGAUGGCGAAGGCGGCCAACUAGGCUUUAACUGACGCUGAGGCUCGAAAGUGUGGGGAGCAAACAGGAUUAGAUACCCCUGUAGUC